rnacentral:tRNA from 1 species
GCUGGUUUAGUUUAAUGGCAAAAUAAUUAAUUCGUAAUUAAUCAGAUAGAAGUUCGAAUCUUCUAAUCAGCACCA